rnacentral:lncRNA from 1 species
AAAAAAGGGAGUAAUAUUAUACCGAAGAAAAUAUCCUGAUCAACUUAACAAAAUAAAACGUAGUAAUCUAACACUACAAAGUUUUGAGAAAUUCAAUCAAGUAAUACAAGAGGAUAUUACAGCACACACAACUAUAGAAAUAUUGGAAAAAAGUACCCAAGUCCAAAAACUUUGUGAUACAACACAUUUCAAAUAUUUAUUUUUAGAGAAGAGCAUAUUGGUUUAAGCAGUUACAGCAAAAAAUGAUUUUCAACAAUUUUACAAACAUGAAUGUGAU